AUUGGAGUGGAAUAUGGGUAUGUGCAUAUGUAUGUAGACCACACAAACACACACUUAUGAUGCCUAUCUGCUGAAUAAGUUGAGUAAGAGAGAUUGUGAUCUUUGUGGUGAGAAAAGCUACAAGUCCUCACCUUCAAAGGUGGAGCUUAUCGUGCUCAGUGAUGAUGAUGAAGACACAUCUGAAGCUGUCCAGAAGAAGAUAAUGUUAGACAAGGGGAAAGCUGCAGUUAAAGAUAGUGGCACUACUAUGAAACUGAGGAAGAGGGACAAAGGAAAGGGUGUUGUUGUUAUGUCACCCUGUGUGAACAAGAAGGAAUCACACAUUGGCAAUCCUCCUGGUUUUAAUGUAAAGGAUGUUGUGGGGCUGCCUGUUAUGAGCUACUGGUAGCAGAAAAAAUAGUUGGGGUUUUAGCUACUUUUUGUUUGAUAAUGUUGGGUUAGUUUUUGGGUUGUUUUGAAGUUUAAUGUUAACAACAAAUGUUUUGUUUUAAUGGUAUUGCUUCUUUGUAAAUGAUUCAACUUAUAUCCUGCUAUCAAGCCUCACAUAUUUCCAAUAGA